rnacentral:lncRNA from 10 species
AAAAUGGCGGCAGCGAUGGAUGUGGAUACCCCGAGCGGCACCAACAGCGGCGCGGGCAAGAAGCGCUUUGAAGUGAAAAAGGUUGGUGGAAUGCAGUAGCCCUCUGGGCCUGGGAUAUUGUGGUUGAUAACUGUGCCAUCUGCAGGAACCACAUUAUGGAUCUUUGCAUAGAAUGUCAAGCUAACCAGGCGUCCGCUACUUCAGAAGAGUGUACUGUCGCAUGGGGAGUCUGUAACCAUGCUUUUCACUUCCACUGCAUCUCUCGCUGGCUCAAAACACGACAGGUGUGUCCAUUGGACAACAGAGAGUGGGAAUUCCAAAAGUAUGGGCACUAGGAAAAGACUUCUUCCAUCAAGCUUAAUUGUUUUGUUAUUCAUUUAAUGACUUUCCCUGCUGUUACCUAAUUACAAAUUGGAUGGAACUGUGUUUUUUUCUGCUUUGUUUUUUCAGUUUGCUGUUUCUGUAGCCAUAUUGUAUUCUGUGUCAAAUAAAGUCCAGUUGGAUUCUGG